AGAGUUUGAUCCUGGCUCAGGAUGAACGCUAGCUACAGGCUUAACACAUGCAAGUCGAGGGGCAGCGGUAUCGAAAGCUUGCUUUCGGUAGCCGGCGACCGGCGCACGGGUGAGUAACGCGUAUCGAACCUGCCUCAUACUCGGGAAUAGCCUUGCGAAAGUAAGAUUAAUGCCCGGUGUUUUCAGAGUCCCGCAUGAGGCUUUGAACAAAGAUUUAUCGGUAUGAGAUGGCGAUGCGUCCCAUUAGCUUGUUGGCGGGGUAACGGCCCACCAAGGCAUCGAUGGGUAGGGGUUCUGAGAGGAAGGUCCCCCACAUUGGAACUGAGACACGGUCCAAACUCCUACGGGAGGCAGCAGUGAGGAAUAUUGGUCAAUGGGCGGAAGCCCGAACCAGCCAAGUAGCGUGCAGGAAGACGGCCCUCCGGGUUGUAAACUGCUUUUAGUUGGGAAUAAAACGGGGCUCGUGAGCCCCCUUGCAUGUACCAUCAGAAAAAGGACCGGCUAAUUCCGUGCCAGCAGCCGCGGUAAUACGGAAGGUCCGGGCGUUAUCCGGAUUUAUUGGGUUUAAAGGGAGCGCAGGCGGACCUUUAAGUCAGCUGUGAAAUACGGCGGCUCAACCGUCGAACUGCAGUUGAUACUGGAGGUCUUGAGUGCACACAGGGAUGCUGGAAUUCAUGGUGUAGCGGUGAAAUGCUCAGAUAUCAUGAAGAACUCCGAUCGCGAAGGCAGGCAUCCGGGGUGCAACUGACGCUGAGGCUCGAAAGUGCGGGUAUCAAACAGGAUUAGAUACCCUGGUAGUCCGCACAGUAAACGAUGAAUACUCGCGGUUUGCGAUACAAUGUAAGCCGCCAAGCGAAAGCGUUAAGUAUUCCACCUGGGGAGUACGCCGGCAACGGUGAAACUCAAAGGAAUUGACGGGGGCCC
rnacentral:rRNA from 1 species